UCUGGGUCUGCGUCUGCGUCUGCAGUAGUCGACACUCUUCGGAGACCACUGGUUGUAGCAAGGGAGAUUUCGUCAUGGCCGCCGGAGGAGGAGGAGCAGCGAGGUCGUUAAUCCUUUCACCGGUGAAAGCCUGCGCUCCGCAUCUCUUUCUUUUCGCCCUCGCUAUUUCUAUCAGCUAAUCGUUCGUACUUGCUCAUUUCCUCCUUAGCAGUACAAUGGAAUUCUGGCAGCGAGGUUCCUGGUGCUGUUGAAUUUCAGUCCCUUAAUUGAAACCUCACCCUAAUUUCAUCAUGCUUGUAAUACAGAUAUGGCUUACUACUAUGGCAUUAACAUACGUUAUGGUUUAUGGUUAUGUUCAUCGCUUUAUUUUGAUUAUGUUGUAUCCUCUGACAUUCAAUAUGCUUACAAGUUGAUAAAUUCUUUAUGGAAAUGGGACUAGGACUCAUUGGGCAUUGAUGAGCAACUUGCGAGGAUCUGACUCCACGAAUGUUGAUUGCUACUGUAGUAUCUCUAUUUGUUGGCAUAACAAGGGAAGUCUAUUUUUCUGUACAUUAUUUCAAAAUUCACUGGUUGAUCUAUUGCCAUAAAAUUUUAAUAAAAAGAAAUUAUGAUAUG